AUGAACGCUGGCGGCGUGCUUAAUACAUGCAAGUCGAACGAAGCACCUGCGACGGAUCCCUUCGGGGUGAAGAUGCUUGUGACUGAGUGGCGGACGGGUGAGUAACGCGUGGGUAACCUGCCUUAUGCAGGGGGACAACAGUUGGAAACGACUGCUAAUACCGCAUAAGCGCACGGCACCGCAUGGUGCAGUGUGAUAAGAUUUAUCGGCAUAAGAUGGACCCGCGUCUGAUUAGGUAGUUGGUGAGGUAACGGCCCACCAAGCCGACGAUCAGUAGCCGACUUGAGAGAGUGAUCGGCCACAUUGGGACUGAGACACGGCCCAGACUCCUACGGGAGGCAGCAGUAGGGAAUAUUGCACAAUGGGGGGAACCCUGAUGCAAGCGACGCCGCGUGAGUGAUGAAGUAUUUCGGUACGUAAAGCUCUAUCAGCAGGGAAGAUAAUGACGGUACCUGACUAAGAAGCCCCGGCUAACUACGUGCCAGCCGCAGC
rnacentral:rRNA from 1 species